GAUGAAGAACGCAGCGAAAUGCGAUAAGUAAUGUGAAUUGCAGAAUUCAGUGAAUCAUCGAAUCUUUGAACGCACCUUGCGCCCUUUGGCUAUUCUGAAGGGCAUGCCUGUUUGAGUAUCGUGAACACCUCAACUCUCAUGGUCUGCCAUGAUGAGCUUGGACUUUGGGGGUCUUGCUGGCCUACUGUCAGCUCCUCUCAAAUGAAUCAGCUUACCAGUGUUUGGUGGCACCACAGGUGUGAUAACUAUCUAUGCUUGUGGUUUUCUGCCAGGUAACCUCCAGUGAUGGAGGUUCGCUGGAGCUCACAAAUGUCUCUCCUCAGCGAGGACAGCUUUUUGAACGUUUGAUCUCAAAUCAGGUAGGACUACCCGCUGAACUUAAGCAUAUCAAUAAGCGGAGGA
rnacentral:misc_RNA from 1 species